rnacentral:rRNA from 1 species
AUUGAACGCUGGCGGCAGGCCUAACACAUGCAAGUCGAACGAGUGGCGGACGGGUGAGUAAUGUCUGGGAAACUGCCUGAUGGAGGGGGAUAACUACUGGAAACGGUAGCUAAUACCGCAUACCAUCAGAUGUGCCCAGAUGGGAUUAGCUUGUUGGUGGGGUAACGGCUCACAAAGGCGACGAUCACUAGCUGGUCUGAGAGGAUGACAAGCAACAAUGGAAUGGAGACACGGUCAAGACUCCGACGGGAGGCAGCAGUGGGGAAUAUUGCACAAUGGGCGAAAGCCUGAUGCAGCAAUGCCGCGUGUAUGAAGAAGGCCUUCGGGUUGUAAAGUACUUUCAGCAGGGAGGCGUUACCCGCAGAAGAAGCACCGGCUAACUCCGUGCCAGCAGACGCGGUAAUAC